AACGUUUCAGCCACCAUCCGUGGCUUUCAUCAGGAUCAGUUCAGUGAAAGCCACGGAUGGUGGCUGAAACGUU